UACGUAGGGUGCAAGCGUUAAUCGGAAUUACUGGGCGUAAAGCGUGCGCAGGCGGCUUUGCAAGACAGAUGUGAAAUCCCCCGGGCUUAACCUGGGAACUGCAUUUGUGACUGCAUGGCUAGAGUACGGUAGAGGGGGGAUGGAAUUCCGCGUGUAGCAGUGAAAUGCGUAGAUAUGCGGAGGAACACCGAUGGCGAAGGCAGUCCCCUGGACCUGUACUGACGGCUCAUGCACGAAA
rnacentral:rRNA from 1 species